rnacentral:miRNA from 1 species
UCCCGGGAAUCCAAUGGGCCUU